GAUUAAAUCGAAAGUGUCUUCAUUGACCUCUCACCCUUCACUUCCACAUACACCUGUGCACCGUUUGGCUCUUUUAAAAGACGCAAGUCUGCAGAGAGAGUCAUCAAUUUUAUACAUACCCCAGUCUUAUGAAUGUAACAGCUUUAAUAAACAUAAUAAAACUUUUAACAACGGAUCUCUUGGUUCU
rnacentral:misc_RNA from 1 species